GUCUUUUUGAUAAUAAUUUAAAGUCUCGCCUGCCCACUGAUAAUUUAUUGAAUGGCCGCGGUAUUUUGACCGUGCAAAGGUAGCAUAAUCAAUAGUUUUUUAAUUGAAAGCUGGAAUGAAUGGUUGGAUAAGAAAAAAUCUGUCUCAAGUUAAUUUAUUUAGAAUUUUAUUUUUAAGUUAAAAAGCUUAAAUAAUUUUAAAAGACGAGAAGACCCUAUAGAGUUUUAUAAUGUUUAAAAUUAUAAAUAUUUUAGUUUUAUAAAUUUAUAAUUUUAAAUAUUAUUUGAUUGGGGUGAUUAAAAAAUUAAAUAAACUUUUUUUAUAUAAAAACAUUAAUUUAUGAAUAAAUGAUCCAUUAUUAUGAUUAAAAGAAUAAAUUACCUUAGGGAUAACAGCGUAAUUUUUUCAGAGAGUUCAAAUCGAAGAAAGAGAUUGCGACCUCGAUGUUGGAUUAAGAUUAAUAUUUGGCGUAGAAGCUAAAUUAUUAGGUCUGUUCGACCUUUAAAAUCUUACA
rnacentral:rRNA from 1 species